rnacentral:rRNA from 1 species
GUGCACCAGUCGAGAAACCUUCGCAAUGCAGGAAACUGCGACGAGGGAACUCCAAGUGCCUACGCUCAGCGUAGGCUGUUCUCAAGCCUAGAAAGCUUGAGGAGUAAGGGCUGGGUAAGACGGGUGCCAUCUGUGGUAGCAGUCAAUAGAUUCGAUUUGUUACUGCAAGGCAUAAGCCGCCGCGGUAAUACCCGCAGCCCAAGUGGUGGCCGCUUUUAUGGGCCUAAAGCGUCCGUAGCCGGCCCGGUAAAUGCCUGGGUAAAUCGUGGAGCCCAACUUCACGAAUUCCGGGUAGACUGCCGAGCUCGGGACC